rnacentral:rRNA from 1 species
GGGUGAAAUCUGGUGCCAGGAAGGUGGUUGGGUGUUCUAGUAAGAGGUUCUUAGGCUAUCAAGACUCAGAUAUAAAAUAGGAUUAGAUACCCUAUUAUACUGGGUUCAAAGUGGGUCGCUUGAGUAGUAAGCAGUUAUGUUCUUGAAACUUAAAGGAUUUGGCGGUAUCUUAGUCUUGUUAGAGGAAUCUGUUCUGUAAACGAUAAACCACGAAGAAUCUUACUUUUUUUUGUAUGUUCAGUUUGUAUACCGCCAUUAUUAGAUAGUCCCCACAGGGUCUGUUGAAAUAGUUAAAUAAUUAGUAUAUUAGGUCAAGGUGCAGCUAAUAAGAAAGCAGGCAAUGGAUUACAAUGGGUCGCGAGCAAACGGAUUAGUGAGAGUAUUUUACUUUGAAGGUGGAUUUAAUAGUAGGGCCUGUUUAAUAAGCAGGCCUGAUAGGGGCUCUAACAUAUGUA